UACGUAUGGAGCAAGCGUUAUCCGGAUUUACUGGGUGUAAAGGGUGCGUAGGUGGCAGUGUAAGUCAGAUGUGAAAGGCCGGGGCUCAACCCCGGAGCUACAUUUGAAACUGCUCGGCUAGAGUACAGGAGAGGCAGGCGGAAUUCCUAGUGUAGCGGUGAAAUGCGUAGAUAUUAGGAGGAACACCAGUGGCGAAGGCGGCCUGCUGGACUGUUACUGACACUGAGGCACGAAAGCGUGGGGAGCAAACAGG
rnacentral:rRNA from 1 species